UAACAAGGAUUCCCUCAGUAACGGCGAGUGAAGCGGGAAGAGCUCAAAUUUAAAAUCUGGUUUGCUUGCAAGCCCGAGUUGUAGUCUGAAGAAACGUUUUCCAUAAGCACUGAGGCAAAAGUCCCUUGGAACAGGGCAUCAUAGAGGGUGAGAAUCCCGUCCAUGGUCUCAAGUUGGUUAUUUUGUGAUACGUUUUCAAAGAGUCAGGUUGUUUGGGAAUGCAGCCUAAAAUGGGUGGUAAAUUUCAUCUAAAGCUAAAUAUUGGCGAGAGACCGAUAGCGAACAAGUACCGUGAGGGAAAGAUGAAAAGAACUUUGAAAAGAGAGUUAAACAGUACGUGAAAUUGUUGAAAGGGAACCGUUUGAAGCCAGUCUUACUUGCCUGUGAUCAAUUUUUGCUUCGGCAUGAAUGCACUCUCGGGUAUGGUAGGCCAACGACAGUUUGGAAUGCGAGAAAAAAAUAGAGGAAAUGUGGCCUUCGGGUGUUAUAGUCCUUUGUAAAAUAUCGUGUUCUGGACUGAGGAUCGCAGCAAAAAUGUGGGCAGGUGGAUUUCUGUGGUAACUGUCGGUUAGGACAACUUGUUGACCUAGUCUUCCUUAGCCUCACUAUUUACCUUGCUUCUAAUUUGCUUAGGUCGUUGGCAUAAUGGCUUUAAAUGA
rnacentral:rRNA from 1 species